rnacentral:rRNA from 1 species
UUAAGCAUAUCAAUAAGCGGAGGAAAAGAAACCAACAGGGAUUGCCUCAGUAACGGCGAGUGAAGCGGCAACAGCUCAAAUUUGAAAUCUGGCCCCAGGCCCGAGUUGUAAUUUGCAGAGGAUGCUUUUGGCGCGGUGCCUUCCAAGUUCCCUGGAACGGGACGCCACAGAGGGUGAGAGCCCCGUCAGGUCGUGCAACCAAGCCUUUGUAAAGCUCCUUCGACGAGUCGAGUAGUUUGGGAAUGCUGCUCUAAAUGGGAGGUAUAUGUCUUCUAAAGCUAAAUACCGGCCAGAGACCGAUAGCGCACAAGUAGAGUGAUCGAAAGAUGAAAAGCACUUUGAAAAGAGAGUUAAAAAGCACGUGAAAUUGUUGAAAGGGAAGCGUUCAUGACCAGACUUGGGCCCGGUUGAUCAUCCAGCGUUCUCGCUGGUGCACUCUGCCGGCCCAGGCCAGCAUCAGUUCGCUCCGGGGGACAAAGGUUCAGGGAAUGUGGCUCCCCUCGGGGAGUGUUAUAGCCCUGUUCAAAUGCCCUGGGGUGGACUGAGGUCCGCGCAUUGCAAGGAUGCUGGCGUAAUGGUCAUCAACGACCCGUCUUGAAACACGGACCAAGGAGUCGUCUUCGUAUGCGAGUGUUUGGGCGUUAAACCCCGGCGCGUAAUGAAAGUGAACGCAGGUGAGAGCUUCGGCGCAUCAUCGACCGAUCCUGAUGUUCUCGGAUGGAUUUGAGUAAGAGCAUACGGGGCCGGACCCGAAAGAAGGUGAACUAUGCCUGUAUAGGGUGAAGCCAGAGGAAACUCUGGUGGAGGCUCGCAGCGGUUCUGACGUGCAAAUCGAUCGUCAAAUAUGGGCAUGGGGGCGAAAGACUAAUCGAACCUUCUAGUAGCUGGUUUCCGCCGAAGUUUCCCUCAGGAUAGCAGUGUUGAACUCAGUUUUAUGAGGUAAAGCGAAUGAUUAGGGACUCGGGGGCGCUUUUUAGCCUUCAUCCAUUCUCAAACUUUAAAUAUGUAAGAAGCCCUUGUUACUUAAUUGAACGUGGGCAUUCGAAUGUAGCAACACUAGUGGGCCAUUUUUGGUAAGCAGAACUGGCGAUGCGGGAUGAACCGAACGCGAGGUUAAGGUGCCAGAGUAGACGCUCAUCAGACACCACAAAAGGUGUUAGUACAUCUUGACAGCAGGACGGUGGCCAUGGAAGUCGGAAUCCGCUAAGGACUGUGUAACAACUCACCUGCCGAAUGUACUAGCCCUGAAAAUGGAUGGCGCUCAAGCGUCUCACCCAUACCUCGCCCUCAGGGUAGAAACGAUGCCCUGAGGAGUAGGCGGACGUGGGGGUCAGUGACGAAGCCUAGGGCGUGAGCCCGGGUCGAACGGCCUCUAGUGAAUU